UACGUAGGGUGCGAGCGUUGUCCGGAAUUAUUGGGCGUAAAGGGCUCGUAGGCGGUUUGUCGCGUCGGGAGUGAAAUCCACUGGCUUAACUGGUGGCUUGCUUUCGAUACGGGCAGACUGGAGGUAUGCAGGGGAGAACGGAAUUCCUGGUGUAGCGGUGAAAUGCGCAGAUAUCUGGAGGAACACCGGUGGCGAAGGCGGCAUCCUGGACCGGCAUUGACGCUGAGGCGCGAAAGCUAGGGGAGCAAACGGG
rnacentral:rRNA from 1 species